UUAAAGGAUAGCUUAAUCGGUAGAGCAUGAGACUCUUAAUCUCAGGGUUCUUCAUGAGAACCCUUAAUCUGAGGGUUCAAGCCCCAUGCUGGGCAAAA